rnacentral:rRNA from 1 species
CCUACGGGAGGCAGCAGUGGGGCAUAUUGCACAAUGGGGGAAACCCUGAUGCAGCGACGCCGCGUGGGUGAAGAAGUAUUUCGGUACGUAAAGCUCUAUCAGCAGGGAAGAAAAUGACGGUACCUGACUAAGAAGCCCCGGCUAACUACGUGCCAGCAGCCGCGGUAAUACGUAGGGGGCAAGCGUUAUCCGGAUUUACUGGGUGUAAAGGGAGCGUAGACGGCAGCGCAAGUCUGGAGUGAAAUCCCAUGGCUUAACCAUGGAACUGCUUUGGAAACUGUGCAGCUAGAGUGCAGGAGGGGGAAGCGGAAUUCCUAGUGUAGCGGUGAAAUGCGUAGAUAUUAGGAGGAACACCAGUGGCGAAGGCGGCUUACUGGACUGUAACUGACGUUGAGGCUCGAAAGCGUGGGGAGCAAACAGGAUUAGAUACCCUAGUAGUC